rnacentral:lncRNA from 1 species
GGGCAGAGACCAGCGGUACUCUGCCCGGGUGCCAGCGCUACCACUGAAGUAGCCUGGUUGGAGCCUGGUUGUGGGAGGGGGAGAUCGACUGUCUCCCCUCUGGAUACACUGCUCUGUGGCUGGGGGACAGGACUGACCGUCCCUACCCCUGGUGCUGCAAGUGCAGAGACUACGGUCCCAUCUGCAUAGUUGUGGGGCUGAACAUCUCCCCUUGGUGGGUUAGGCUGCCGCUGGAGAGAGGGUGUAACAAGCUCCUCUCUCUGAACUGUAGACUGCCGCUGGGGAGAGGGGGUAACCUGCUCCUCUCCCUGACACUCUCUUUGCUGGUGGAGAGGGGGACCAACUGUCUCCCCUUUCAAUAUUUUGUCCUGCGGCUGGGGUGCGAGACAGAUGGUCUCUGCUUCCUGGGGUACACACUGCCGCUGGGGAGGAAGGACGGCACCUUCAGCUCCCUGGGGUACACACUGCCGCUGGGGAGGAAGGACGGCACCUUUGGCUCCCUGGGAUACACACUGCCGCUGGGGAGGAAGGACGGCAC